rnacentral:rRNA from 1 species
AAAGGCGGAGGGUUAGUAGCUGGCCUCUAGGGGCAUGUGCACGCUCUCUUCCGGACCUUUCGCCGUAUGGGCGCGGGGCGACCCGCGUCUUCAUAUACCUCUUCGUGUAGAAAGUCUUUGAAUGUUUUACCAUCAUCGAGUCGCGACUUCUAGGAGACGCGAUUCUUUGAGAAAAAAGUUAUUACAACUUUCAGCAACGGAUCUCUUGGCUCUCGCAUCGAUGAAGAACGCAGCGAAUCGCGAUAUGUAAUGUGAAUUGCAGAUCUACAGUGAAUCAUCGAAUCUUUGAACGCACCUUGCGCUCCUCGGUGUUCCGAGGAGCAUGCCUGUUUGAGUGUCAGUAAAUUCUCAACCCCUCUCGAUUUGCUUCGAGCGGGUGCUUGGAUGUUGGGGGCUGCCGGAGACACUGGAWUCGUCCAGGACUCGGGCUCCUCUUAAAUGAAUCGGCUCGCGGUCGACUUUYGACUUUGCAUGACAAGGCCUUUGGCGUGAUAAUGAUCGCCGUUCGCCGAAGUGCAAGACAGAAUGGUCCCGUGCCUCUAAUGCGUCGACGCCUCUAGGGGCGUCUUCCUCAUUGACGUUUGACCUCAAAUCAGGUAGGACUACCCGCUGAACUUAAGCAUAUC